UACGGAGGGUGCAAGCGUUAUCCGGAUUCACUGGGCGUAAAGGGCGCGUAGGCGGUCAGCACAAGUCAGUUGUGAAAUCUCCGGGCUUAACUCGGAAAGGUCAACUGAUACUGUGCGACUAGAGUGCGGAAGGGGCAACUGGAAUUCUCGGUGUAGCGGUGAAAUGCGUAGAUAUCGAGAGGAACACCUGCGGCGAAGGCGGGUUGCUGGGCCGACACUGACGCUGAUGCGCGAAAGCCAGGGGAGCGAACGGG
rnacentral:rRNA from 1 species